UGAAUACGAAAUGCUACGGCAUUGAAGUGAUCUAUGCCAGGCUUCCAAGAAAAUCUCGUCAUAUCUUAAGCAGUAGAUGCCUGUACCUUAAACCGACACAGGUAGGUAGGUAGAGUAUACCAAGGGGCGCGAGAUAACUCUCUCUAAGGAACUCGGCAAAAUAACCUCGUAACUUCGGAGAAGAGGUACCCUUGAAAAAGGGUUGCAAUAACCAGACCCUGGCGACUGUUUACCAAAAACACAGGUCUCCGCUAAUUCGUAAGAUCAAGUAUGGAGGCUGACGCCUGCCCAGUGCCGGAAGGUUAAAGAAGUUGGUCAAUCUUUGGAUGAAGCUGGCGACUGAAGCCCCGGUGAACGGCGGCCGUAACAAUAACGGUCCUAAGGUAGCGAAGUUCCUUGUCGGGUAAGUUCCGACCCGCACGAAAGGCGUAACGAUCAGGGUGCUGUCUCGGAGAGAGACUCGGCGAAAUAGACAUGUCUGUGAAGAUGCGGACUACCUGCACCUGGACAGAAAGACCCUAUGAAGCUUUACUGUAUCUUGGAAUUGGGUUUGGGCCUUGCUUGCGCAGGAUAGGUGGGAGGCUGUGAAGAUAUUCUUGCGGGAAUGUUGGAGCCAACGGUGAGAUACCACUCUAGUAAGGCUAAAAUUCUAACUCUGAACCGUUAUCCGGUCAGAGAACAGUUUCAGGUGGGCAGUUUGACUGGGGCGGUCGCCUCCUAAAAGGUAACGGAGGCGCGCAAAGGUUCCCUCAGGCUGGUUGACAUCAGUCGUAGAGUGUAAAGGCAUAAGGGAGCUUGACUGCGAGACCCACAAGUCGAGCAGAGACGAAAGUCGGCCUUAGUGAUCCGACGGUUCCACGUGGAAGGGCCGUCGCUCAACGGAUAAAAGUUACUCUAAGGAUAACAGGCUGAUCUCCCCCAAGAGUUCACAUCGACGGGGAGGUUUGGCACCUCGAUGUCGGCUCAUCGCAUCCUGGGGCGGUAGUACGUCCCAAGGGUUGGGCUGUUCGCCCAUGAAAGCGGUACGCGAGCUGGGUUCAGAACGUCGUGAGACAGUUCAGUCCAUAUCCGGUGCAGGCGUUAGAGCAUUGAGAGGAGUCCCCCUUAGUACGAGAGGACCGGGGGGAAUACACCGCUGGUGUACCAGUUAUCGUGCCAACGGUAAACGCUGGGUAGCCAUGUGUAGCGCGGAUAACUGCUGAAAGCAUCUAAGUAGGAAGCCCACCUUAAGAUGAGUGCUCUCACCGCUAUAAGCGGGUAAGGUCACGGUAAGAACAACCGUUAUAUAGGCAUUAAGUAUACGUGCAGUAAUGCAUUUAGCUGAGAUGUACUAACAGACC
rnacentral:rRNA from 1 species